CAGAAAGACCCUAUGAAGCUUUACUGUAACUUGAAAUUGAAAUUGGACUUUAUUCGCGCAGUAUAGGUGGGAGGCAUUGAAAAUAAUCUUGCGGGAAUAUUGGAGCCAUCAGUGAGAUACCACUCUUGUAAUGUUAGAUUUCUAACUUUGAAUCAUUAUCUGGUCAAAGAACAGUUUCAGGCGGGCAGUUUGACUGGGGCGGUCGCCUCCCAAAUGGUAACGGAGGCGUACAAAGGUUUCCUCUGAACGGGUAGAAAUCGUAUCUAGAGUGUAAAGGCAAAAGGAAGCUUGACUGUGAGACCUACAAGUCGAGCAGGGACGAAAGUCGGUCUUAGUGAUCUGACGGUACUGAGUGGAAAGGCCGUCACUCAACGGAUAAAAGUUACUCUAGGGAUAACAGGCUGA
rnacentral:rRNA from 1 species